UACAGAGGGUGCAAGCGUUGUUCGGAAUUAUUGGGCGUAAAGCGCGUGUAGGCGGCUUUGCCAGUCGGGUGUGAAAGCCCUCGGCUCAACCGAGGAAGUGCGCCCGAAACUGCAGAGCUUGAGUACCGGAGAGGAUGGCGGAAUUCCCCAAGUAGAGGUGAAAUUCGUAGAUAUGGGGAGGAACACCGGUGGCGAAGGCGGCCAUCUGGACGGAUACUGACGCUGAGACGCGAAAGCGUGGGGAGCAAACAGG
rnacentral:rRNA from 1 species